CGGUUGGAUAAGUUAGAUGUGAAAGCCCCGGGCUCAACCUGGGAAUUGCAUUUAAAACUGUCCAGCUAGAGUCUUGUAGAGGGGGGUAGAAUUCCAGGUGUAGCGGUGAAAUGCGUAGAGAUCUGGAGGAAUACCGGUGGCGAAGGCGGCCCCCUGGACAAAGACUGACGCUCAGGUGCGAAAGCGUGGGGAGCAAACAGGAUUAGAUACCCUGGUAGUCCACGCCGUAAACGAUGUCGAUUUGGAGGCUGUGUCCUUGAGACGUGGCUUCCGGAGCUAACGCGUUAAAUCGACCGCCUGGGGAGUACGGCCGCAAGGUUAAAACUCAAAUGAAUUGACGGGGGCCCGCACAAGCGGUGGAGCAUGUGGUUUAAUUCGAUUUUACGCGAAGAACCUUACCUGGCCUU
rnacentral:rRNA from 1 species